GGUGUCGGCUUAAGUGCCAUAACGAGCGCAACCCUCGUGGUCAGUUACUAACAGGUUAAGCUGAGGACUCUGGCCAGACUGCCAUCGUAAGAUGUGAGGAAGGUGGGGAUGACGUCAAAUCAGCACGGCCCUUACGUCCGGGGCUACACACGUGUUACAAUGGGAGGUACAGAAGGCUGCUACCCGGCGACGGGAUGCCAAUCCCCAAAACCUCUCUCAGUUCGGACUGGAGUCUGCAACCCGACUCCACGAAGCUGGAUUCGCUAGUAAUCGCGCAUCAGCCACGGCGCGGUGAAUACGUUCCCGGGCCUUGUACACACCGCCCGUC
rnacentral:rRNA from 1 species